rnacentral:rRNA from 1 species
UACGUAGGGUGCAAGCGUUAAUCGGAAUUACUGGGCGUAAAGCGUGCGCUAGGCGGUUUGUAAGUUUGUCGUGAAAUCCCCGGGCUCAACCUGGGAAUGGCAUUGGUGACGUGCACGGCUAGGAGUGUGUCAGAGGGGGGGUAGAAUUCCACGUGUAGCAGUGAAAUGCGUAGAGAGUGUGGAGGAAUGACCGAUGGCGAAGGCAG